rnacentral:tRNA from 1 species
AGGCAUUUAGUCUAAACAAGACCAUUGAUUUCGGCUCAAUAAAUCAUGCCAAACCCAUGAGUGCCUU